rnacentral:rRNA from 1 species
CCCUACGGGGUGCCCAACUCCAUGACGUUGUUCCUCAGCUGUAAUGAGUCCUUCAGCUUGAAGGUUAAUCAAGUGAUGACGGACUGAAAUCCCGUUGCUCCCCACUGCUUCCGAGAGCUCAUUAAUUGUGGCCUGGCGUUUAGUAAGUAAAGUGUUCAAAAUUUUCUCGCGCGUGCUUUUCAUGGGUUCCUUCUUAGAAGUAAUCGCAGUAGUAUAACAUAUGAGGACAGGUGAAUCUGUACACGCUCAUAGUCGACGGCUAUUUUACUAUAGAAAAACUACAUUAUGCUAUAAUUAAUCAAGAAAGCAAUCAAACUUAUGCAGGAGCAGAAACAUGACCAAACUUAUAGAUAUUGAAGGAAUUGGCGGGGGGGC